rnacentral:rRNA from 1 species
GAUGAACGCUGGCGGCGUGCCUAAUACAUGCAAGUCGAACGCACCAUUUCGGUGGUGAGUGGCGAACGGGUGAGUAACACGUAGGUAACCUGCCCUUAAGACGAGGAUAACCAAGGGAAACUUUGGCUAAAACUGGAUAGGAACAUUGGAGGCAUCUCUGAUGUUUUAAAAGACCUAGCAAUAGGUAUGCUUAAGGAGGGGCCUGCGGCGCAUUAGUUAGUUGGUGAGGUGAAGGCUUACCAAGACGAUGAUGCGUAGCCGGACUGAGAGGUUGAACGGCCACAUUGGGACUGAGAAACGGCCCAAACUCCUACGGGAGGCAG